CAGUAGCCGCGGGAAUACGAGGGGGGCAAGCGUUGUUCGGAAUUAUUGGGCGUAAAGGGUGCGUAGGCGGUUUGAUAAGUCAUCUGUGAAAUCUAUGGGCUCAACCCAUAGUCUGCAGGCGAAACUGUCGGGCUUGAGAGUGGGAGAGGUGAGUGGAAUUUCCGGUGUAGCGGUGAAAUGCGUAGAUAUCGGAAGGAACACCUGUGGCGAAAGCGGCUCACUGGACCAUUUCUGACGCUGAUGCACGAAAGCUUGGGGAGCAAACAGGAUUAGAUACCCCAGUAGUCCCUGUCUCUUAUAA
rnacentral:rRNA from 1 species